UAUCUGUGUCAUCAUGGGUUUGGCUUUGGGUUAAACCUUUUUCUCAGAAUUUAAUGACGAUAUUAAUUCAGAGUAAUUGUUAUUCAUGUGCAGACUGAUACUCAGCUGACUUUAAGUACAGUGUUUAUGUGCUAUUUUAAGCCCUGCAGUGAGUUUAGAGACCAGAAUUGUGAUUUAAAACUAUUUGAAACUCUAUUCUUUUCUAAUUGAUGUUUAAUAUUAGUUAACUAUGCGUGCCAUUUUUAUGAGCUCAGUAAUUGAGAGAUUAGAUGGAUUAUUUGUACUUUAGACUACAGGGCUAUUUGACAUGAGUUAGUGCUGGCUAGGUUACUAAAAAAAGUAAAUAAUUACCUAUAAUAAUUACUUUUUAAAUCCUAUUUAGUAAAUGAAGAUCGACUUAAAACGGCUGGAAUAAAUCAUAUAGGGUCAGUUUCCCAGACAGGGUUUAGAUUAAUCCAGGAUUAGGCUUUAGUUAUUUUAGGACAUUUAAGUAGCUUUUACAAACAAACCUUGUAGAAAAACAAUACUUGUGUGCAUCUUGAGACAAAACAAUGGUACUGAUACAUGUUAAAAUAUGUCAGUGCAAGGUAUUUUUAAAUUAAAACAUGCAUUCUAGUUUGGGACUAGGAUAAGCCCUGUCCGGAAAACCACCCCAUAAUUUAGUUCAUAAAUUAUUCUGGUUACACUUUUGACGGUCCAAUUCUCACAAUUAACUUGCUAUUAAAGAGCACCAAUUAUGCUAAUAAAUGAGCACGUUAGCACGUUAUUGUAAUAUCCCAUAGUACAUACAUGUUAUUAAAACUUGAACUAAUGCACUGUGAGUCUUAUAAAUUGCUUACAUACCUCACCGAUUUCCCACUGUCUGGAAAACGCUCGGUUUAGUUCCUGUCUCCGCCUCCCAAAAUGUCUAGUGUAUUCGGAUUGGUCAGAUGACUACUCAACUGUUAUUGGUCAACUGGGUUCGGCGUGUGUUUGAAAGGUUACGCCCCUGACUACGCGUGGGUUUUCCGGUUCUGACUGAGAGUCACAGGCAACGUAAACAAGCGCUAUAUUUCUCUAUAAACGAUGGUGUCUGUACUGCCUUACCACUUCAAGCUCGAUCCAGAGAGUUCAGACGGCGUUACGAUAUAAACGAUCUCCGUCAAUUAACGCGAUUGGAUUUAACUUUUUUAGGUGUCCUUAGCUCUGCCAGAAUGCUAAACGAAGACGAAAAUGUGUUGCAAAGACAUCCAAAAGGUUUUAAGGAGAAUGCAACAGGUUCCAGGGCCUCUUACCUGCGUGAUUCAUCAUCCAGAUACGCUUGGAGCUUCCUGAUCAGAUCGGUCACAAUUUUGGCUUUCGAUGACCCCUGCACUGAAGAUGGCAUGCAAUCACGUCCUCCUUUGAAGGUCUCUCAAACUGUGAUGCCAGGUCCAUUGGAAUCGGGGUU